UUUCAUUUUAGAGAAAGCGUGAAACACAUAUAUGGCAUGUAUAUGGAUCACGUGGACAAGCAAACUUAGCUAAUAAAUAUGAACAAGGCAUACUAUAGCAUAGUGAUACGUCUCCAACGUAUCUAUAAUUUUUGAUUGCUCCAUGCUAUAUUAUCUUCUGUUUUGGACAUUAUUGGGCUUUAUUAUUCACUUUUAUAUUAUUUUUGGGACUAACCUAUUAACCGGAGGCCCAGCCCAGAAUUGCUGUUUUUUGCCUAUUUCGGAGUUCCGCAGAAAAAGAAUAUCAAACGGAGUCCAAACGGAAUGAAACCUUCGGGAACGUGAUUUUUAGAACGAACAUGAUCCAGGAGACUUGGACCCUACGUCAAGGAAGCUUCCAGGAAGCCAUGAGGUAGGGGGCGCGCCUACCCCCCCCCCCCCAGGCGCGCCCUCCACCCUCGUGGGCCCCACGUUGCUCCACCGACGUACUCCUUGCUCCUAUAUAUACCUACGUACCCCCAAACAAUCAGAUACGGAGCCAAAAACCUAAUUCCACCGCCGCAACCUUCUGUACCGACGAGAUCCCAUCGUGGGGCCUGUUCCGGAGCUCCGCCGGAGGGGGCAUCGAUCACGGAGGGCUUCUACAUCAUCACCAUAGCCCCUCCGAUGAAGUGUGAGUAGUUUACCUCAGACCUUCGGGUCCAUAGUUAUUAGCUAGAUGGCUUCUUCUCUCUUUUUGGAUCUCAAUACAAUGUUCUCCCCCUCUCUCGUGGAGAUCUAUUCGAUGUAAUCUUCUUUUUGCGGUGUGUUUGUUGAGACCGAUGAAUUGUGGGUUUAUGAUCAAGUUUAUCUAUGAACAAUAUUUGAAUCUUCUCUGAAUUCUUUUAUGUAUGAUUGAUUAUCUUUGCAAGUCUCUUCGAAUUAUCUGUUUGGUUUGGCGUACUAGAUUGAUCUUUCUCGCAAUGGGAGAAGUGCUUAGCUUUGGGUUCAGUCUUGCGGUAUCCUUUCCCAAUGACAGUAGGGGCAGCAAGGCACGUAUUGUAUUGUUGCCAUCGAGGAUAACAAGAUGGGGUUUUUUAUCAUAUUGCAUGAAUUUAUCCCUCUACAUCAUGUCAUCUUGCUUAAGGCGUUACUCUGUUUUUAUGAACUUAAUACUCUAGAUGCAUGCUCGAUAGCGGUCUAUGAGUGGAGUAAUAGUAGUAGAUGCAGGCAGGAGUCGGUCUACUUGUCUCGGACAUGAUGCCUAUAUACAUGAUCAUACCUAGAUAUUCUCAUAACUAUGCUCAAUUCUUUCAAUUGCUCAACAGUAAUUUGUUCACCCACCGUAGAAUACUUAUGCUCAUGAGAGAAGCCACUAGUGAAACCUAUGGCCCCCGGGUCUAUCUUCAUCAUAUUAAUCUUCCAACACUUAGUUAUUUCCUUUUCUUUUUACUUUGCAUCUUUAUCACAAAAAUACCAAAAAUAUUAUCCUAUCAUAUCUAUCAGAUCUCACUCUCGCAAGUGGCCGUGAAGGGAUUGACAACCCCUUAUCGCGUUGGUUGCGAGGAUUUAUUUGUUUUGUGUAUGUGCGAGGGACUCGCGCGUAGCCUCCUACUGGAUUGAUACCUUGGUUCUCAAAAACUGAGGGCAAUACUUACGCUACUUUGCUGCAUCACCCUUUCCUCUUCAAGGGAAAACCAACGCAGUGCUCAAGAGGUAGCAAGAAGGAUUUUUGGCGCUGUUGCGGGGAUGUGUACGCAAAAGUCAACAUACCAAGUACCCAUCACAAACCCUUAUCUCCCGCAUUACAUUAUUUGCCAUUUGCCUCUCGUUUUCCUCUCCCCCACUUCACCCUUGCCGUUUUAUACGCCCUUUUUCUGUUCGUCUUUUCGUUUGCCUUGAUGUCUUACUUGGCUCGUUUGCUCGUUUGGUUGAAAUAGUCGAGUAUUUAUUCCUAAACAAAGAAGCUAAUAUCUAUGGAUCCUCAUCCACUUGCCAAUCUUUUUAAGAGAUCCAAUUAUGAUGAACCAAUUCCUAGUGAUUUGGAUGCACUGGAUUAUCUUUAUAAGGUUUUGCUUGAAAUCCAUGAAUCUGAAAAUUGUGAUGAAGUGCUUUAUGAAGUGAUUCACGAUAGAUCUUUGAAUAAAAAGCAUGAUUUCAAUGAUUUUUUUAUAAAUUCUAUUGAUGUAAAUUAUGCUAAUAAUAUGCAAAACCCUAAGCUUGGGGAUGCUAGUUUUGCUAUGUCCACUACCUGUUGCAAUAAUCAUUAUUGGGGAGAUUCUUCUUAUGAUCUUGAAAAUUUAUUUAAGCCCCAUGAUGAAUAUAAGAUUGAUAAUAGUUUUUGCAAUAAUAUUGAAAGUGGGUUUGGAAGAGUGUCAACUUUAGAUCCCACAUAUUUGGAUAAUAUUCAAUCUUAUGAUUUUUUUUAUAAAAGUGGGCUUGGAGAAAUCAUGACUUUAGUUAAUGAUAAUCCCACUAUUUUGGAAGAGUGUCAACUUCGCAUGCAUGUGGAUGGUGUUGAGAAUAUGUUAUGUGAUAGCUAUAUUGUUGAAUUUUCUUAUGAUCCUACAUGUAAUUAUUAUGAGAGAGGAAAAUAUGGUUAUAGAAAUUUUCAUGUUACUAAAUUACCUCUCGUUAUGUUGAGAUUGCUAUUGUUCCUUUCCGCUUCCUUGCAUAUGCUAGUUUUUGCUUGCUACGAUAAUUUGUUUGCCUAUAAUAUGCCUAUGCAUAGGAAGUAUGUUAGACUUAAGUGUGUUUGUCAGAUGUUUUAUGAUGCUCUCUUUAUGCUUCAAUUCUUGUCUUUCACGUGAGCAUCAUUGAAAUCUUAAUGCCUAGCUAAAAAGGCUUUAAAAAAAGCGCUUGUUGGGAGACAACCCAAUAUUUUUCAUUGAUUCUUAGUAAUAAAUAUUUGUUCUAGCCUCUGGUUAGAUGUGUUUUUAUGUUUUAAUUAGUGUUUGUGCCAAGUUAAACCUAUAGGAUCUUCUUGGAUGAUAGUUAUUUGAUCUUGCUGUAAUUUCCAGAAACUUUCUGUUCACAAAAACAAUUGUUAAAAAUCACGAGAACGUGAUAAAAUAUUGAUUCCAAUUGAUGCUGAUCAAUAAACAAAUUGUCUAGGUCGUCCUAUUUUGGCUGAUUUUUUGGAGUUCCAGAAGUUUGCGUCAGUUACGGAUUACUACAGACUAUUCUGUUUUUGACAGAUUCUGUUUUUCGUGUGUUGUUUGCUUAUUUUGAUGAAUCUAUGGCUAGUAAAAUAGUUUAUAAACCAUAUAGAAGUUGGAAUACAGUAGGUUUAACACCAAUAUAAAUAAAUAAUGAGUUCAUUACAGUACCUUGGAGUGGUCUUUUGUUUUCUUUCGCUAACGGAGCUCACGAGAUUUUCUGUUGAGUUUUGUGUUGUGAAGUUUUCAAGUUUUGGGUGAAAGAUUAGAUGGAUUAUGGAACAAGGAGUGGCAAGAGCCUAAGCUUGGGGAUGCCCAUGGCACCCCCAAGAUAAUCUAAGGACACCAUAAAGCCAAAACUUGGGGAUGCCCCAGAAGGCAUCCCCUCUUUGGUCUACUUCCAUCGGUAACUUUACUUGGAGCUAUAUUUUUAUUCACCACACGAUAUGUGUUUUGCUUGGAGCGUCUUGUAUGAUUUGAGUCUUUGCUUUUUAGUUUACCACAAUCGUCCUUGCUGUACACACCUUUUGAGAGAGCUAUACAUGAUUUGGAAUUUGUUAGAAUACUCUAUGUGCUUCGCUUAUAUCUUUUGAGUUAUAUAGUUUUGCUCUAGUGCUUCACUUAUAUCUUUUAGAGCACGGUGGUGGAUUUGUUUUAUAGAAACUAUUGAUCUCUCAUGCUUCACUUAGAUUAUUUUGAGAGUCUUUAAUAGCAUGAUAAUUUGCUUAAAUAAUCCUAAUAUGCUUGGUAUUCAAGAUUAGUAAAAACUUUCUUAUGAGCGUGUUUAAUACUAAGAAAAGUUUGAUGCUUGAUAAUUGUUUUGAGAUAUAAAGAUGGUGAUAUUAGAGUCAUGCUAGUUGAGUAGUUGGGAAUUUGAGAGAUACUUGUGUUAAAGUUUGUGAUUCCCGUAGCAUGCACGUAUGGUGAACUGUUAUGUGAUGAAGUCGGAGCAUAAUUUAUUUAUUGAUUGUCUUCCUUAUGAGUGGCGGUCGGGGACGAGCGAUGGUCUUUUCCUACCAAUCUAUCCCCCUAGGAGCAUGCGCGUAAUACUUUGCUUUGAUAACUUGUAGAUUUUUUCAAUAAGUAUAUGAGUUCUUUAUGACUAAUGUUGAGUCCAUGGAUUAUACGCACUCUUCUUCCUUCCACCAUUGCUAGCCUCUCUAAUACCACGCACUUUUCGCCGGUAUCAUACACCCACCAUAAACCUUCCUCAAAACAGCCACCAUACCUACCUAUCAUGGCAUUUCCAUAGCCAUUUCGAGAUAUAUUGCCAUGCAACUUUCCACCGUUCCGUUUAUUAUGACACGCUCCUUCAUUGUCAUAUUGCUUUGCAUGAUCAUGUAGUUGACAUCGUAUUUGUGGCAAAGCCACCGUUCAUAAUUCUUUCAUACAUGUCACUCUUGAUUCAUUGCAUAUCCCGGUACACCGCCGGAGGCAUUCAUAUAGAGUCAUAUCUUGUUCUAAGUAUCGAGUUGUAAUUGUUGAGUUGUAAGAAAAUAAAAGUGUGAUGAUCUUCAUUUUUAGAGCAUUGUCCCGAGGAAAAGGAUGAUGGAGACUAUGAUUCCCCCACAAGUCGGGAUGAGAUUCCAGACGAAAAAAAGAGGCCAUAAAAGAGACCCAAAUAAAAAAAUGAGAGAAAAAGAGAGAAGGGACAAUGUUACUAUCCUUUUACCACACUUGUGCUUCAAAGUAGCACCAUGAUCUUCAUGAUAGAGAGUCUUUCAUUUUGUCACUUUCAUAUACUAGUGGGAAUUUUUCAUUAUAGAACAUGGCUUGUAUAUUCCCAAUGAUGGGCUUCCUCAAAAUGCCCUAGGUCUUCGUGAGCAAGCAAGUUGGAUGCACACCCACUUAGUUUCUUUUGUUGAGCUUUCAUAUACUUAUAGCUCUAGUGCAUCCGUUGCAUGGCAAUCCCUACUCACUCACAUUGAUAUCUAUUGAUGGGCAUCUCCAUAGCCCGUUGAUACGCCUAGUUGAUGUGAGACUAUCUUCCCCCUUUUUUGUCUUCCCCACAACCACCAUUCUAUUCCACAUAUAGUGCUAUGUCCAUGGCUCACGCUCAUGUAUUGCGUGAAGAUUGAAAAAGUUUGAAAAUAUCAAAAGUAUGAAACAAUUGCUUGGCUUGUCAUCGGGGUUGUGCAUGAUUUAAAUACUUUGUGUGGUGAAGAUAGAGCAUAGCCAGACUAUAUGAUUUUGUAGGGAUAACUUUCUUUGGCCAUGUUAUUUUGAGAAGACAUGAUUGCUUAGUUAGUAUGCUUGAAGUACUAUUAUUUUUUAUGUCAAUAUUAAACUUUUGUCUUGAAUCUUUCGGAUCUGAAUAUUCAUACCACAAUUAAGAAGAAUUACAUUGAAAUUAUGCCAAGUAGCAUUCCACAUCAAAAAUUCUGUUUUUAUCAUUUACCAACUCGAGGACGAGCAGGAAUUAAGCUUGGGGAUGCUUGAUACGUCUCCAACGUAUCUAUAAUUUUGUAUUGCUCCAUGCUAUAUUAUCUUCUGUUUUGGACAUUAUUGGGCUUUAUUAUUCACUUUUAUAUUAUUUUUGGGACUAACCUAUUAACCGGAGGCCCGGCCCUUAAUUGCUGUUUUCUGCCUAUUUCAGAGUUUCGCAGAAAAAGAAUAUCAAACGGAGUCCAAACGGAAUGAAACCUUCGGGAAUGUGAUUUUUAGAACGAACAUGAUCCAGGAGACUUGGACCCUAUGUCAAGGAAGCUUCCAGGAAGCCACUAGGUAGGGGGCGCGCCUACCCCCCCCCCAGGCGUGCCCUCUACCCUCGUGGGCCCCAUGUUGCUCCACCGACGUACUCCUUCCUCCUAUAUAUACCUACGUACCCCCAAACGAUCAGAUACGGAGCCAAAAACCUAAUUCCAUCGCCGCAACCUUUUGUACCCACGAGAUCCCAUCUUGGGGCCUGUUCCGGAGCUCUGCCGGAGGGGCCAUCGAUCAUGGAGGGCUUCUACAUCAUUACCAUAGCCCCUCCGAUGAAGUGUGAGUAGUUUACCUCAGACCUUCGGGUCCAUAGUUAUUAGCUAGAUGGCUUCUUCUCUCUUUUUGGAUCUCAAUACAAUGUUCUCCCCUUCUCUCGUGGAGAUCUAUUCGAUGUAAUCUUCUUUUUGCGGUGUGUUUGUUGAAACCGAUGAAUUGUGGGUUUAUGAUCAAGUUUAUCUAUGAACAAUAUUUGAAUCUUCUCUGAAUUCUUUUAUGUAUGAUUGGUUAUCUGUUCAAGUCUCUUCGAAUUAUCUGUUUGGUUUGGCCUACUAGAUUGAUCUUUCUUGCAAUGGGAGAAGUGCUUAGCUUUGGGUUCAAUCUUGCGGUGUCCUUUCCCAGUGACAGUAGGGGCAGCAAGGCACGUAUUGUAUUGUUGUCAUCGAGGAUAACAAGAUGGGGUUUUUUUAUCAUAUUGCAUGAAUUUAUCCCUCUACAUCAUGUCAUCUUGCUUAUGGCGUUACUCUGUUUUUAUGAACUUAAUACUCUAGAUGCAUGCUGGAUAGCGGUCGAUGAGUGGAGUAAUAGUAGUAGAUGCAGGCAGGAGUCGGUCUACUUGUCUCGGACGUGAUGCCUAUAUACAUGAUCAUACCUAGAUAUUCUCAUAACUAUGCUCAAUUCUGUCAAUUGCUCAACGGUAAUUUGUUCACCCACCGUAGAAUACUUAUGCUCAUGAGAGAAGCCACUAGUGAAACCUAUGGCCCCUGGGUCUAUCUUCAUCAUAUUAAUCUUCCAACACUUAGUUAUUUCCUUUCCUUUUUACUUUGUUUUUUUUACUUUGCAUCUUUGUCACAAAAAUACCAAAAAUAUUAUCUUAUCAUAUCAAUCAGAUCUCACUCUCGCAAGUGGCCGUGAAGGGAUUGACAACCCCUUGUCGCGUUGGUUGCGAGGAUUUUUUUGUUUUGUGUAGGUGCAAGGGACUCGCGCGUAGCCUCCUACUGGAUUAAUACCUUGGUUCUUAAAAACUGAGGGAAAUACUUACGCUACUUUGCUGCAUCACCUUUCCUCUUCAAGGAAAAACCAACGCAGUGCUCAAGAGGUAGCACAUAGCAGGUAAGGAGUUAGAUUCACUCAAGUAUUGGUGACUAAUAGACCUAUUAUUUUAUUUUAGAGAAAGCAUGCGUGGAAAUAUCAUUCACUGAUAUAAAUAACGCGGCACCGCUCAUGAUUUGCCUCUGGUGUUUGCCAUACAACAACAGCAGUAGUACAAAGAUGUUUGACUGUACAUGUGAAUAAAGAUAUGACAAUAGCAGGUAUAGAUAAUUUGAGG
rnacentral:lncRNA from 1 species